AAUUUUUUCAUAUUUCUUAUAAAAAAUAUUUUUCUAUAAAAUGUGGAAAUUAUAUUUUUAUUUUUUUAUUUAAAAAUUCCAACCAAGAGGCAUCUUGUUAUCUUUUUCGUUGACCACAUUUUUUUCUUCAAACGAGCCCUAAAUAGCAAGGACUAGUAUAUUUGUAUGUGGUAUAUGUAAAUAUAUUUGUAUACCAUACAUACUACAUAUAUUAGUCUGGGUUCAGCUCGACCAAGGAGGGUCCAUGGGCAGGCAAUGGUUUAACCAAUCAAAACGAACCCCACGUACGGUGGAUGGUAAAAUUUGAGCGGCCAAAACCUAACUAUGGAUCAGUAGGAGAGGCCUCAGGUAAGCUAACCAUGUUCAGUGCCGACUAAAAUCAUAUACGCUCUGCAGAAUAGAUUUAAUAUGACUCCACGCAAGCUGAUGGACUGUUAUUUUUUUCAUAAAAAAAAAAAUUGUAGCCUCUGAAAAUAUUGGAGGAAAGACGGAAUCGGUACGGAGUAAAAUUGUUUCUCAAAUAACUUACGGUUUCUCUAUACAUGUCGGGCCUGCAUCAGUUCGGCUGGUGGGGUCAAGCUCAGGCUUUGACUAGAACAGCUAAGCGAGGCUAGACUUGGGUCUGAAUUUUUUUGGCUUGAUAUCAAGCGGUGGCAUGGCAGGAACACGCGGUAAUACCAACAGUGGUCGAUCAGUGGUUGUCAUGUGGUGUUAAAAAAUAAAAAUUAAAAAAAUAAGAAUAUAUUGGAAAAUGAAAUAAAUGAAGUUGAACCAAACCGGAGCCUUGCGGAUGGCAGCAAGGUUUCGCAUGGUGCUUAUGUUUUAUGUGGGAUCUUUUUCGGGCUUAUUAGGUUCGCGGAAAGCAUUGUUCCUUCUAAGAAUAUUGUUGGGGAAAAACUCAAGUCGCACUGGUUCGGAGGCGCUCGCCUAAGGAGCGCCAACCAGAGAGCGCCGAUCAGAAGACGCCCGAUCCGGAAAGCGCCCGAUCAGGGGGCCCCAACCUCGCAACACGGGAAAACCCAAGUAGCGCCCGACCAGAGCGCUCGACCAGAAAGCGUCCGAUCAGGAGACGCCGACCAGAACGCGCCGACCUCACGACGCUCGAGUCAAAGACACCCCACUGACCAACUGGUGCCGAGCCCUAAAGAUGCCUUGUCUAAAUAUUCGACCCCAGCCUAAUUCCUUAUAGAGAAUCUGACAACUAGAUUUCCAACUCCACCGUACUGUGCUACCGUCGUCAAGCCAUUAAGGCACGUGACCUCCGCAGGCCUCCGGCACACUCGAUCAUUAAUGCGUGACUCCUGCGGGCCUUCAGUGCACUCAUCCAUUAAAUGAACACGGCCCAAGAUGAUCUCCGGAUCACUGGACUAUCAAAGCGUAUGGCUCUUCCUGAUCACCGGUUCACUCAGCAAUUAAUGCACUUGCUAUCUACGAACCCCAAGCCCACCACGGCCGGUGGUUGAACCACUUCAAUAGGUCCGAUCAACCAUGACAAUUCGCUGGAUCCGGUCUGAUCCGGUCUCGUUCUCCACAACAUCAUUAAUGAGCAUGAUCGUGCCCAAUUAUCACGAAGAAGACAAUUUUCCCUGUCACCUCCAGGUAACAUAAUAUCCUUCUAUAAAAGGAAACCGGGGAAAAAGGAGGGACAGAAGAACAAACAUUCUCCUCUUUUACCACACUCAUAUACUAGCCCUCUCUGACUUAAGCAUCGGAGGGCCGGCGCCGGAGAUUCCGGCCACCGGCUUUUUGCAGGACUCUCCAGGAGGACGCCACCAUCUGACGCGCCGCCGCCCACCGUUCCAGCAGCGGAGCUCCUCCCCUCUCAGCUCGCGGCCGCUCCUAGGUCCAAUUUCCAGCAACAAAUAUGAUUAUUGGGAAAUAAAUUCUCAUGUUUUCAAGGAGAACAAGCGGACGGCAGGACGUCAGUGGACGUGAUAGGCCUAUUGGGGCCGACCAUCGAAAGUUUUCGGAUUGCUGUUUUUUUUUAUAUAUAUAUUUAUGACAAACGAGGUGGGCAAAGCAGCUGCCCAACUUUUAUUGAAGAGCAAAAUUAAUUAUAGUAAAAAAAAAGUUACAGUAGCAAGUAUAGAUUAGAUCAGCUGAGUAGACAACAUAAUAGAAACCGAGCAGUUAAGCAGCUGUAGAAAUAGAAAAGCAAAAAAAAAUUAAACAAAUGAAUGGUACAACUUUAGCUCAACAAAAUUAAGUUAUUUAUUUGCUCAAGUAUCAAUGUCGAACCCUAUUUAUCUGUUUGGUAGAGUAGGUAAUUUUUUUAUUUUAUGUUAGGUUUUUGUGUACUCAAGUACCGUUGUCGCGUUAUAUUUAUUUGUUUGGUAGGAUUGGUAAUUUUUUUAUUGUUUGGUAGGAUAGGUAAUUUUUUUAUUUUAUGUUAGGUUUUUGUGUACUCAAGUACCGAUGUCGCGUUCUAUUUAUCUGUUUAGUAGGAUAGGUAAUUUUUUAUUUUGCGUUAGGUAAGCGAUUUUACGUUAUAAAGGUUGGACUAUAAAUAAAAUAGUUGUAAAUAUUUUUUACCAUAAAUAAUUGUUUAUUUAUAAAAAUUUUGAUACAUAUUUUUUUGGCAUGAUCAUGAAAUGACACUAGUGAGCAUCAUGAUCAUUAGCCGAUGGUGCAGCUUUAGAAAAAUUUCUCUUUUUUUAAUCCAAGUAUAGUUUGCUAAAAGAUAAAAUCUUCUUCAGAUGACAGUAAAAAAUUUGCACUUCAAAAACAAAUGAUUUAUAGAUUGGACAAAGUGGCAACACGAUGCACAUCAUUUCAUAUUUUUUUCAAAACUUUUUUUAAUGCUAUCCUUAGUAUUGUACCAUUUUUUCCAACAAAAUUAUAGGGAGUAUUUUACUUUAAGUGUGGCACUGGAAGGUUCUAAAGUAAGAAGGCAGUUGUACUUUAUUCCUUUAGAAUUGAUGAGUUGAUAGUAGGAUGCGGAGGUGAACGUUGUUUUACUGCUUAGUUUUCAAAUAUUUUUAUCCUCAUCUCUAUUAAAUAUUAUCAAAAUAAGCAAAGAGAACAAUUGAUUUUGCUGUUAGAAGAUCUUUGCCAAUUGCUUGCUCGAUUGUUUAAGUUUUCACAAUAUAGUUUUGCAAUUUAAAAAAUUAGAUAUAGUGCCAUUUUUUUUUGUGUUGCGAGCAUAAAGGGUAGGGAGGAUCAAUUUGAGUGGUGCAUUUCAAAGCUAGUUCUUUCCAAAAAGAAGUGUUUUGGUGGUUGGCGAUCUUGAAGUGAAUUCGAUUCCAGAAGGCCAGGAGAGAAUAACAUCUUUCCAAAUGUUAGAGCAUCUUUUUGGCGGUUUCCAACACAUUAAUAGUUUUACUUUUUUAUAAUAUGCAAAUUUAAUUUGCUUUCUCCAAAUACCUGGGUUUUUCACAAUUGACGUUCAACCCCAUUUUGCUAAAAAUGCAUUACUAAACUAUUGAAUGUCCUUGAUUUCUAGCACUCUUUCAUUUGCAAGCAAACAGUCUUUCAACCUUAUAAAAGAAACUGUGAGUGAUAAAUAUACUAGUCCAGGAUAAAGCUCACCUACAUUUGCCAAUUCUUUUGGUCACCCAAGCUGGAGACAUGAAGUAUAGAGGCAAGAAUUGAAUUGAUCAAGGUAGUCCUACCUCUAAAAGGCAUAUACUCGCUUUUUCAUAAAGCCAAUCUAUUCUCACUGCCAAUCCAACUUAAGAAGAUUUUGCACCAUUGAGUGGCAAACCCAAGUACUUGAGAGGGGUUGAAAUCUCAAGAUAAUUAGCCACCUACCACACUGUAGCUCUUCUUCAUGUCUAUGGCCGAUGUAAGAGAUUGAGCUUUUUUGAAAAUUAAUGGAUAACCUUCAUAUUAGCUCAAAACAAGAGUGGAUGGUUUUCAAUACCGUAUAAUAAUCUUUUUUUGUGUUAAGGAAGACCAAUGUAUCGUCCGCAUAUUGCAAUAGUUUAGUGUCUCCACAAAUCCAUGGGUUCCCCAAUUCCUUAUAAUUUUUUUUCUUGAAGCCACAACGUUAAGCAUUCUACAAAGUGGAUCCACUGCAAGUAUGAACAAGAAAGAAAAGAGUGGGUCACCUUCAUGAGCCCCCGCUUGCAGAAAAUCCAGUCACUAAGCUCUUUGUUCCCGUUGACCACAAUUAUGGAUGAAAGUAGUAGAUUGGAGAUCCAAUUAAUCCAUCUUAUGGGAAAACUUCUCUUAACAAGAUGUCUAAUAAGAUAAGAGGGGCUAACUCUAUAAAAAGCCCUUAUGAAGUGAAGUGUGCAAAUCGCCUCCUCAAUGCUCGAUCUUCUUGAGUGGUGCAGAAUUUCAUUGGCAUAUAGAAAAUUGUCCUUCAUGUACUUUUCUUUAAUGUUGGCUGUGUGAGCGAGAUCAAUGAGAUCAUUAAAAAAAGGCUAGAGACAGUUGGACAUACCCUUCCAUAUGAUUUCGAUGCAGCUAUACGCAAGACUGAUGCGCCGGAAAUCGGAAGGGUCUUUUGUUGCUUCUUUCUUUGGAAUGAGGGCGAGUAAGGCAUAAUGGAAUCCUGCAAGGUCCAGAUUUCUACUGUAGAGUUGCCGAAAGAGAGAAAAGAUAUUAAUUUUUAUCAAGUUCCAGAAUCUUUGGAAGAAGUAGAGAGAGAAGCUGUUAGGCCUUGGACUUUUAUCUCCUUUGAAGCUAAACACAGUAUCCUUCACUUUUUUGAAGGAGAAAGCAGCCUCCAAAACAUCCAACACUAGUGAAGAAAUGGAAUAAAGUCGAUCCCAAUCAAGAUUAAACUCUAUCAUAGCAAAAAAAUAUUAAAUGGAUCAGACCUACUGUGGAUCCAAGAUAAAAUCAUCCAAACGUGUGUUGCUAUCGCACAUUAAAAGAAGAAGCAUGGGGAUAGAGGGGACGGGACAGAUUGAUUUCAUCCUAAAUUUAAUAAUUUCUUGGUCACGAUAGCUCUAUGAAAGAUACAUGACUCUUUACCGGUCCAUUGCUUGCUAGCUUGCGGGCCACCCGAUGAUUUGAGUUCGGAGGGGUGAUACCAUCAUCGCCGCGGUCGGUUUAUUUCCAUUUCCGUCAUUGUUGAUUAGAAAAGAUAAGCUUUCCACCUUAAGCAGGGCGUCCAAGUCCCCCAUCGAACUAAUCUCCAUCUCUCUCUUGGGUACCCCCACCCUCUGGUUAUUUUAAGAUGAAUUUUGAUGGUGGUAUGGCUAUGAAUAGAGCUUCUGGAGGAGUGGGCUUUGUUAUUAGGGACCAGCAUGGUAGAUUGAUUGCAGCUGGAGGUUAGAGCACACCAGGAUUGACGGUUGUUGGGCAGAGCUACAAGUUGCCUGGGAGGGCAUCCGAUAUGCGAGAUGUGUGUUGGGGGUCGACAGAUUAUGCAUUGAGGGAGACUCUGCCACGGUGAUUGACUGGAUACGGGGAGUCAAUAGAUAUGGUGACGACCACCCUUUGAUUUGGGAUACUCGCAGACUAGUUCAGGAGAUGUUAGCUGUCCAGAUUGGUCAUGUGUAUCGU